GGACGAACGCUGGCGGCGUGCCUAACACAUGCAAGUCGAGCGAAUGAAGUUCCUUCGGGAACGGAUUUAGCGGCGGACGGGUGAGUAACACGUGGGCAACCUGCCUCAUAGAGGGGAAUAGCCUUCCGAAAAGGGAGAUUAAUACCGCAUAAGAUUAUAGUACCGCAUGGUACAGCAAUUAAAGGAGCAAUCCGCUAUGAGAUGGGCCCGCGGCGCAUUAGCUAGUUGGUGAGGUAACGGCUCACCAAGGCGACGAUGCGUAGCCGACCUGAGAGGGUGAUCGGCCACAUUGGGACUGAGACACGGCCCAGACUCCUACGGGAGGCAGCAGUGGGGAAUAUUGCACAAUGGGGAAACCCUGAUGCAGCAACGCCGCGUGAGUGAUGACGGCCUUCGGGUUGUAAAGCUCUGUCUUCAGGGACGAUAAUGACGGUACCUGAGGAGGAAGCCACGGCUAACUACGUG
rnacentral:rRNA from 1 species